GACGAACGCUGGCGGCGUGCUUAACACAUGCAAGUCGAACGGAAAGGCCCUGCGUUUGUGGGGUGCUCGAGUGGCGAACGGGUGAGUAACACGUGAGUAACCUGCCCUUGACUUUGGGAUAACUUCAGGAAACUGGGGCUAAUACCGGAUAGGAGCUACUGCAGCAUGGGGGGGGUUGGAAAGAUUCGGCGGUUGUGGCUGGACUCGCGGCUUAUCAGCUGGUUGGGGGGGUAGGGGAGGACCAGGGCUUUGACGGGUAGCCGGCCUGGGAGGGUGACCGGCCACAUUGGGCCUGCGAUACGGCCCAGACUGCAACGGGACGCAGCAGUGGGGAAUAUUGCACAGUGGGCGGAAGCCUGAUGCAGCAACCCCGCGUGCGGGAUGAUGGCCUUCGGGUGGUAAACCGCUUUCGCCUGUGCCGAAGCGUGAGUGACGGUAAUGGGUAAAGAAGCACCGGCUAACUACGUG
rnacentral:rRNA from 1 species